rnacentral:rRNA from 1 species
AUGCAAGUCGAACGGCAGCGCGGGGCAACCUGGCGGCGAGUGGCGAACGGGUGAGUAAUAUAUCGGAACGUACCCUGGAGUGGGGGAUAACGUAGCGAAAGUUACGCUAAUACCGCAUACGAUCUAAGGAUGAAAGUGGGGGAUGCGCAAGCACCUCAUGCUCCUGGAGCGGCCGAUAUCUGAUUAGCUAGUUGGUGGGGUAAAGGCCUACCAAGGCAUCGAUCAGUAGCUGGUCUGAGAGGACGACCAGCCACACUGGAACUGAGACACGGUCCAGACUCCUACGGGAGGCAGCAGUGGGGAAUUUUGGACAAUGGGCGAAAGCCUGAUCCAGCAAUGCCGCGUGAGUGAAGAAGGCCUUCGGGUUGUAAAGCUCUUUUGUCAGGGAAGAAACGGUGAAGGCUAAUAUCCUUUGCUAAUGACGGUACCUGAAGAAUAAGCACCGGCUAACUACGUGCCAGCAGCCGCGGUAAUACGUAGGGUGCAAGCGUUAAUCGGAAUUACUGGGCGUAAAGCGUGCGCAGGCGGUUUUGUAAGUCUGUCGUGAAAUCCCCGGGCUCAACCUGGGAAUUGCGAUGGAGACUGCAAGGCUAGAACCUGGCAGAGGGGGGUAGAAUUCCACGUGUAGCAGUGAAAUGCGUAGAGAUGUGGAGGAACACCGAUGGCGAAGGCAGCCCCCUGGGUCAAGAUUGACGCUCAUGCACGAAAGCGUGGGGAGCAAACAGGAUUAGAUACCCUGGUAGUCCACGCCCUAAACGAUGUCUACUAGUUGUCGGGUUUAAUUAACUUGGUAACGCAGCUAACGCGUGAAGUAGACCGCCUGGGGAGUACGUCGCAGAUAAACUCAAAGAUGACGGACCCGCACAGCGUGAUGAUGUGAUAUCGAUGCACGCGAAAACUACUACCUGACAUGUACGAGCACGAGAGAUCG